rnacentral:rRNA from 1 species
GCAUAUCAAUAAGCGGAGGAAAAGAAACCAACAGGGAUUGCCUUAGUAACGGCGAGUGAAGCGGCAAAAGCUCAAAUUUGAAAUCUGGCACCUUCGGUGUCCGAGUUGUAAUUUGAAGAAGGUAACUUUGGAGUUGGCUCUUGUCUAUGUUCCUUGGAACAGGACGUCACAGAGGGUGAGAAUCCCGUGCGAUGAGAUGCCCAAUUCUAUGUAAAGUGCUUUCGAAGAGUCGAGUUGUUUGGGAAUGCAGCUCUAAGUGGGUGGUAAAUUCCAUCUAAAGCUAAAUAUUGGCGAGAGACCGAUAGCGAACAAGUACAGUGAUGGAAAGAUGAAAAGAACUUUGAAAAGAGAGUGAAAAAGUACGUGAAAUUGUUGAAAGGGAAGGGCUUGAGAUCAGACUUGGUAUUUUGCGAUCCUUUCCUUCUUGGUUGGGUUCCUCGCAGCUUACUGGGCCAGCAUCGGUUUGGAUGGUAGGAUAAUGACUAAGGAAUGUGGCUCUACUUCGGUGGAGUGUUAUAGCCUUGGUUGAUACUGCCUGUCUAGACCGAGGACUGCGUCUUUUGACUAGGAUGUUGGCAUAAUGAUCUUAAGCCACCCGUCUUGAAACACGGACCAAGGAGUCUAACGUCUAUGCGAGUGUUUGGGUGUAAAACCCGUACGCGUAAUGAAAGUGAACGUAGGUGAGAGCUCUUAAGAGUGCAUCAUCGACCGAUCCUGAUGUCUUCGGAUGGAUUUGAGUAAGAGCAUAGCUGUUGGGACCCGAAAGAUGGUGAACUAUGCCUGAAUAGGGUGAAGCCAGAGGAAACUCUGGUGGAGGCUCGUAGCGGUUCUGACGUGCAAAUCGAUCGUCGAAUUUGGGUAUAGGGGCGAAAGACUAAUCGAACCAUCUAGUAGCUGGUUCCUGCCGAGU